GACGGGGGGGGCAAGUGUUCUUCGGAAUGACUGGGCGUAAAGGGCACGUAGGCGGUGAAUCGGGUUGAAAGUGAAAGUCGCCAAAAAGUGGCGGAAUGCUCUCGAAGCCAAUUCACUUGAGUGAGACAGAGGAGAGUGGAAUUUCGUGUGUAGGGGUGAAAUCCGUAAAUAUACGAAGGAAUACCGAUGGCGAAGGCAGGUCUCUGGGCUGACACUGACGCUCAUGCACGAAAGCGUGGGGAGCAAACAGG
rnacentral:rRNA from 1 species